GGAUCCAGACUUUGAUCAUGGCUCAGGAUGAACGCUAGCUACAGGCUUAACACAUGCAAGUCGAGGGGCAGCAUGACGAUAGCUUGCUAUUGUCAAUGGCGACCGGCGCACGGGUGAGUAACGCGUAUCCAACCUUCCCGUUGCUAGGGGGUAACCUUGCGAAAGUAAGACUAAUACCCUAUGAUGUUCUUCGCAGGCAUCUAAAGAGAACGAAAGAUUUAUCGGCAACGGAUGGGGAUGCGUCUGAUUAGGUUGUUGGCGGGGUAACGGCCCACCAAGCCUACGAUCAGUAGGGGUUCUGAGAGGAAGGUCCCCCACAUUGGAACUGAGACACGGUCCAAACUCCUACGGGAGGCAGCAGUGAGGAAUAUUGGUCAAUGGACGGAAGUCUGAACCAGCCAAGUAGCGUGCAGGAUGACGGCCCUAUGGGUUGUAAACUGCUUUUAUGUGGGAAUAAAGUGAGGGACGUGUCCCUUUUUGUAGGUACCACAUGAAUAAGGACCGGCUAAUUCCGUGCCAGCAGCCGCGGUAAUACGGAAGGUCCGGGCGUUAUCCGGAUUUAUUGGGUUUAAAGGGAGCGUAGGCCGUCUUUUAAGCGUGUUGUGAAAUACUGUCGCUCAACGACAGAGGUGCAGCGCGAACUGGGAGACUUGAGUGCGCGGAAUGCAGGCGGAAUUCGUCGUGUAGCGGUGAAAUGCUUAGAUAUGACGAAGAACUCCGAUUGCGAAGGCAGCUUGCAGUAGCGUAACUGACGCUGAAGCUCGAAAGUGCGGGUAUCGAACAGGAUUAGAUACCCUGGUAGUCCGCACGGUAAACGAUGGAUGCUCGCUGUGUGCCCUUGGGUACGCGGCCAAGCGAAAGCGUUAAGCAUCCCACCUGGGGAGUACGCCGGCAACGGUGCAACUCAAAGGAAUUGACGG
rnacentral:rRNA from 1 species